CCUACGGGUGGCAGCAGUGGGGAAUAUUGCACAAUGGGCGCAAGCCUGAUGCAGCCAUGCCGCGUGUGUGAAGAAGGCCUUCGGGUUGUAAAGCACUUUCAGCGGGGAGGAAGGCGGUGAGGUUAAUAACCUCAUCGAUUGACGUUACCCGCAGAAGAAGCACCGGCUAACUCCGUGCCAGCAGCCGCGGUAAUACGGAGGGUGCAAGCGUUAAUCGGAAUUACUGGGCGUGAAGCGCACGCAGGCGGUCUGUCAAGUCGGAUGUGAAAUCCCCGGGCUCAACCUGGGAACUGCAUUCGAAACUGGCAGGCUAGAGUCUUGUAGAGGGGGGUAGAAUUCCAGGUGUAGCGGUGAAAUGCGUAGAGAUCUGGAGGAAUACCGGUGGCGAAGGCGGCCCCCUGGACAAAGACUGACGCUCAGGUGCGAAAGCGUGGGGAGCAAACAGGAUUAGAUACCCGUGUAGUC
rnacentral:rRNA from 1 species